UACGUAGGGUGCAAGCGUUAAUCGGAAUUACUGGGCGUAAAGCGUGCGCAGGCGGUUGUGCAAGACAGAUGUGAAAUCCCCGGGCUCAACCCUGGGAAUUGCAUUUGUGACUGCACAGCUAGAGUGUGUCAGAGGGGGGGUAGAAUUCCACGUGUAGCAGUGAAAUGCGUAGAGAUGUGGAGGAAUACCGAUGGCGAAGGCAGCCCCCUGGGAUAACACUGACGCUCAUGCACGAAAGCGUGGGGAGCAAACAGG
rnacentral:rRNA from 1 species